CCCAGGACAUUGUUUUCCAGACCAUGAACUGAUGCUUUUGGCUGCUGCAGAAGCUCCCCCAUCUCGUCUGAAGCUGCUGAAAAGCCUCUGCCAGUGCCUUGAUGCUCUCCCCUCAAGGGAUUUAAUCACUGGGAAGGAAUGGAGAGCACAGCACAAAGAGCAGGCAUGGUCCAGGCCUCACAGGACUAAUUAUGCUCUUAAAGGGACUGAGUUGCUAAUCUGGGAUGGUCACAGGAGCUGCUCUGGAAAUGCCUGCAAGAGGAGGAAGACAGAGAGAUCAGUUUAAAGGAAGAUUAAUCUGGACACUGGGGGAGGCAGAGCAAGGCAGGAGUGUCCACCUACAACCAUCUGACAGGAAAAUCCUGAUUUACUCCAGAAAAACUACUCCACUGUUGUGUCAAAUGCAAAUGUUAUCACCACAACACAGAAUUAAGGGUCAAGGAAAAUAUUGUUGCUAAGAAGCUGG